rnacentral:rRNA from 1 species
UACGUAGGGGGCUAGCGUUGUCCGGAAUCAUUGGGCGUAAAGCGCGCGUAGGCGGCCCGGUAAGUCCGCUGUAAAAAAGUCCAGGGCUCAACCCUGGAAAGCCGGUGGAUACUGUCGGGCUCGAGUCCGGAAGAGGCGAGUGGAAUUCCUGGUGUAGCGGUGGAAUGCGCAGAUAUCAGGAGGAACACCAAUGGCGAAGGCAGCUCGCUGGGGACGGUACUGACGCUAAGGCGCGAAAAGCGUGGGGAGCAAACAGG